rnacentral:tRNA from 1 species
AUUUAUCUAAUAUAUUCAAGUAUAUUUGACUUCCAAUCAAAAAGUUUGUUACUAACAAGAUAGAUA